rnacentral:snRNA from 1 species
AUACUCACCUGGCAGGGGAGAUACCAUGAUCACGAAGGUGGUUUGCCCAGGGCGAGGCUUAUCCAUUGCACUCUGGAUGUGCUGACCCCCGCGAUUUCCCCAAAUGUGGGAAACUCAACUGCAUAAUUGUGUGGUAGUGGGGGACUGCAGGUGUCUGUCUUCUCUC